rnacentral:rRNA from 1 species
AUGGAGGUGGCUCUCGGCUCGGCGGCCUCGCUCCUCGGCAAGCUGUUGAGGACGCUGUCCGACAGCCUGGUGGCGGUUUACGUGGACAGCCUUCAGCUCGGCCACAACUCGGAGCAGAUCAAGGACAAGCUGCUGCACGCGCAAGGCCUCCUGCACAACGCCCAGGGGCAGGGGAGCCAUAACCCUGGCCUGCAGGGGUUGCUGGAGAAGCUGAGCAGGGACGCCGACCAGGCAGAGGACCUGCUGGAUGUGCUCCACUACUUCCAGAUCCAUGACAGGCUCCACGGCACCAACUACGCCGCCAUCCAAGAGGCCGGCGUUGAUGGCCUCAGGCAUCAAGCUCUCCAUGCCGGUACUGCUCUUCGCCACACCUUGCUCCACUUCUUUUCUUGCUCGCCUACACCCAAGACCAAGAGGGAUGGUAGUGAUGAUGAUGCUGCUCUUGUCGGCCGCGUCACCAAAAAAUCCAAAACCAACUCUGCUAGUGCUAGUGCUAGUGCUGAUGGUGAUGAUAUGCUGCAUUUCGACAGAGUGUCCAUGUCCAGCAAGAUCAAGUCCCUGUUACAGGGCAUGCAGUCCCACUGUGAUUCCGUCUCCAAUUUGCUCCGCAUCGGCAUCGGCAGUAUCCCAAGCAACAGCACGGCAUUGUCAGUCGUCCUACAUCGGCCUCAGACUGCUUCCAUGAUUAUACAAGACACAUUGUAUGGCAGGAGAGACGUUUUUGAGGAAACUGUCAAUCGUAUCACCACUCUUAUAGUUGGUACCACACAGACUGAGACUGUUUCUGUUCUUCCUAUAGUUGGUCCAGGGGGUAUUGGAAAGACAACUUUCACCACUCACCUGUACAAUGACGCAAGGACUCAAGACCACUUCCAAGUCAGGGUGUGGGUAUGUGUAUCCACUGAUUUCAAUGUGCUUAAGCUCACCAGGGAGAUCCUUGGCUGCAUACCUGCAACUGAAGGAGCAGGAAGCAGCGGUGUUGCAAAUGAAACAGCCAAUUUAGACCAGCUUCAGAAAUCCAUAGCAGAACGUCUCAAGUCCAAGAGGUUUCUAAUUGUCUUGGAUGAUAUAUGGAAAUGUGACAGUCAGGAUCAGUGGAAAACCCUGGUAGCUCCGUUCACAAAGGGGGAAAGCAAAGGAAGUAUGCUACUUGUCACAACUCGAUUCCCAAAGGUAGCAGACAUGGUGAAAACAGUUGAUCCACUAGAGCUGCGAGGUUUGGAGUCUAAUGACUUCUUCACAUUCUUUGAAGCAUGUAUAUUUGGUGAAGAAGAAAAGCCCGAGCAUUACCAAGAUGAGUUUGCUGGUAUUGCACGAAAAAUUGCAAACAAGCUAAAGGGUUCCCCGCUCGCAGCCAAAACAGUUGGUAGACUAUUGCAGAAGGACCUUUCUGAGGAACAUUGGCAUGGAGUUCUUGAAAAGCAUCAGUGGCUAAAGCAGCAAGAAAAUGAUGAUAUCAUGCAAUCUUUAAAGAUUAGCUACGAUUACCUCCCAUUUGAUCUGAAGAAAUGCUUUUCCUAUUGUGGCCUUUUCCCUGAAGAUCAUAGGUUUACUUCUUCAGAAAUCAAUCGUUUCUGGGUGGCAACAGGCAUCAUAGACUCUGAUCAUCAAGCCGAUAGGAAUCACAUGGAAGAACUAGUGGACAAUGGUUUUCUCAUGAAGCAAUUCGAUUGGCGUGAUCGAUGGUGGUAUGUAAUGCAUGAUUUAAUGCAUGAGCUAUCUAAGAGUGUUUCUGCACAAGAAUGCCACAAUAUAAGUGGCUUUGAUUUCAGAGCUGAUGCCAUCUCGCAAUCUGUUCGGCACUUAUCUAUCAACAUAGAAGACAGAUAUGAUGCAAAUUUUGAGAAAGAAAUGUGUAAACUAAGGGAGAGGAUAGACAUUGCUAAUCUGCGGACUUUGAUGAUUUGUAGAAGAUAUGAAGAAGAAAGAAUUGCCAAGAUUUUGAAAGAUAGCUUCAAGGAAAUAAAUAGUCUGCGUGUCCUAUUUAUAGCAGUGAGUACUCCAGAAUCUUUUCCAUAUAGGUUUUCAAAACUGAUCCACCUCCAGUACCUCAAAAUUAGUUCAUCUUACAAAGACGGUGAAAUCAGUUUACCUAGUACACUAUCAAGAUUUUAUCACUUGAAAUUCCUGGACCUAGAUGAUUGGAGUGGUCGUACUGAUUUACCUGAAGACUUCAGCCACCUUGAGAAUUUACAUGAUUUCCGUGCUGGAAGUGAACUCCACUCCAAUAUUCGCAAUGUUGGAAAGAUGAAGCAUCUGCAGGAGCUAAAAGUAUUCCAUGUCAGGAAGGAGAGCAUGGGAUUUGAACUGACAGAACUUGGGGCAUUGCCAGAGCUUGAAGGAGGACUGAUUAUACGUGGUCUUGAACACGUGGCAACCAAGGAGGAAGCUACUGCAGCCAAACUGAUGUUGAAAAGGAACCUGAAGGAGUUGGAAUUACUCUGGGGCAGAGAUGGACCAACUACAGAUGAUGAUAUUCUUGAUGCUCUUCAACCACACUCUAAUCUUAGAGUACUUACAAUUGCAAAUCAUGGUGGUAUGAUUGGUCCUAGCUGGUUGUGUCUUGACAUCUGGUUGACAAGUCUAGAGACUCUCACUCUAGAAGGCGUAUCUUGGAGCAACCUCCCACCCUUUGCGAAGCUACCAAAUCUCAAGGGCCUCUAUUUGAAUAAAAUUUCUGGAAUGCAUCAGUUUGGGCCUCUAUGUGGUGGCGCUCCAGGGAAAUGUUUUAUGCGCUUGAAGGAAGUUGGGUUUUAUGAGAUGCCAGAACUUGCUGAAUGGGUUGUGCUACCUAAUUGCCAUUCCUUUCCAAGUCUUGAAGAAAUCGAAUGCGUCGAUUGUCCCAACCUCCGUGUGAUGCCCUUCUCUGAGGUAUCUUGCACCAAUUUGCGCAGACUUUUUGUUUCUGGGUGCCCCAAGAUGUCUCUGCCGUCCAUGCCUCACACAUCCACACUGACAGAUUUGGUUGUUAAAAGAGAUAGAACAUAUAAUUCAGAAACGUUGUUGUCUUAUGAUGGAAAGGAAUUGGAAUUGGUUGUUAGUGGGUAUGGCGGUGCUUUGGCCUACCACAAUCUGGAUAAAGUAGAAGAUAUGGAUAUUGAAAAUGCAUCGCACAUAUCAUUGACAGACAUCGAAAAGUUUAAAUCCCUAACAAAAGUAACUGUCGGAAGAUGCGACGGUUUAUUCCCUGAAGAGCUGGAUGGCGGUUUUGUCUUCCCUUCAGUUGAGAGUCUCCAAUUACAUGUAUCUCAUCUUGCCAGCAAAUCAUCAUCUUCAAAAGUGUUAAACUGUUUCCCAGCUCUUUCUGUGUUGCACAUAGAUCACUGUGAGGAGGAAUGUGUAAUGCAGUUCCCAUCAUCCAGCUCACUGCAGAAAGUUAACUUCUCAUACUGCAAGGGCCUGAUUCUUGUGCCUCUGGAGAAGGAGAAUGGAGGAGGAACUCAGGAGGACAACUCAUUGCUCCAAUCAUUAACAAUAAAGGGAUGUGGCAAACUCUUCUCCCGUUGGCCCAUGGGAAUGGGAGAAUCAGAGACCAUUUGCCCUUUCCCUGCUUCCCUGAAGAAACUUGAUGUCGAAGGAGAGCCAAGCAUGAAGUCAAUGGCUCUGCUCUCAAACCUCACGUCUCUCACCACUCUAAAGCUAGAGGAGUGCGGUAAUUUAACAGUGGAUGGAUUCAAUCCUCUCAUCGCAGUCAACCUCAGAGAACUGCAAGUGUGUGGGUGCAACACCUUAGCAGCAGAUAUGCUCUCAGAGGUGGCCUCUCACUCUCAGAGGGCCAAAUUAUUAUUGCCUGUAGGUUACAUCAGUGUGGAUAACAUCUCUGGAUUGCUUGUUGCUCCUAUUUGCAGCCUCCUCGCCCCGGCCCUCCACACACUUGAAUUCAAGUAUGCUGAUGAGACCAUGGAAAGGUUGACGGAAGAGCAAGAGAAAGCGCUGCAGCUCCUCACCUCCCUCCAGACACUAAGUUUUUACUCCUGCAAGGGUCUGCAGUCCCUUCCUCAAGGGUUACAUCGCCUUUCUUCUCUCAAGGAGUUACAUGUCAUGUACUGUCCAAAUAUCCGAUCGAUGCCCAAGGAGGGCCUCCCGGUUUCGCUGAGAAAACUAUAUAUGAGUGAUCGCAGCGCUGAGAUAGAUGAACAAAUUGAGAAAAUCAAAAGAACCAACCCAGAUUUAUCCGUCGAAACAUAA